rnacentral:piRNA from 1 species
UACAGUUGUUUUUGCUUGUUGGUAGA